rnacentral:lncRNA from 1 species
AUGACAACUAAAAAAUCGUCUAUUACAAACUCAUGUGAAACAAAAGCAUAUCAAACAGGCUUUACAGAUGAUGAAAAUGAGAUAAACAUUAAGACAAUAAGAAAUUACUGAGAAAAAAAAAUCCGCAUACCCCAAGACGAUAGGACCCAAAGGUGAAAAUUUUGGCAUUUGCUUCUUGUACAAGCUGUUCAUUCAACCCCCUUGCCCGGCUUACUUUUUUCACCCAGAUUUUUACAAUCUGAUCCAUUGAGCAACAUCAGAGCAACAGUAAAGCAUACAACGAAAAUGAUCAAACUCUAACUAGAAACAUAAAUCGUAAUUCAACCUGGUCGAGCCGUCCCAAAACCUCUUCCCUACGUAUGGCCUCUUC